rnacentral:lncRNA from 1 species
GUUGAACUUUACAUUAUGACAUAAAAUUAGACCUUCGGAGUUGCUAGUAUUUAUACCAUGUUGAGACAUGAUGACAUCGAACUUGAGAUGGUUGAUUAUGCUUGCUUGCCAUUUGUGCUCAUUCGCACAUGCUUGUGAGGGUCGCUCCCUACAAGCCGGCACUCCGGAGUUAGCUUAUGCGAUUUAUGCUCGCUCGUACGGUAUUGAGAAGCCUACUGGGCCGGGUAAGAUAGACUCAUUCCUAGAGUGAAAAUAUUGGGGCUUCCACGGGCAUUUAGGCGACACAAGCCAGACCACACUUGUGUAGGUCCUAAGAUG